rnacentral:piRNA from 1 species
UGUGGAGUGAGGGGACCCUGCUCCUCCCGGC